UAGGAACUGUAUAAUGGAAAACCUUCCUAGAGGUAAAACAGAAAACUAAGAAAUGAGCCCUUUAAAAUCACUACUCAAGAUGAAAACCAACUUCAGCAAAGGAGGAUGAGCGCAGGUAUACCUAACCUGUCGCUCCUGAUAUGUCUGCUACAUAUUGAUACAAGAUUGAUAUAUGCCCAGAAGUUAUACAUUGUAUCUGGGGAGCAGAGGAAGAAGCUGCACAUUGUCCUAGAGAACAACGGAACACAAAACCCCAAACUUGCUGAAAAAGUCUAGUGAAGAAAUAACUAGGAUGAUGAAUUGGGAACCCAAUUUACAGUUCAACAGGUUGGGUUCCCAAUAAGGAUAGUCACCUAAGAAAGGAACUUGACUGCAAGACUGCCACUGUGAAAUACAUCACUGAGCUGAACAGCAGGAGAAAAUAGAGCUAAGUCAAAUGCUUCAGCCAAAGGGAUUCCAAUUAAGCUCUCCAGAGGUGAUUUUAGAGACUUUCUCCCCACUUCUGAUCUUUCAAGCAAAGGGAUCUUCCAAAGAAGCUGGAGAAGGAAUCAGAUAUAUAUGAAGCCAUGAGAACAAGAUGAAGAGGUGAUUAAUGCUGCUCCAGAGCCUGGAAGGGAAAUGGUAACUCCAAGGUUCUUCCUUUUCAGGCUUAUUAUUUAGACUUUCUGUGACAAACUGCCACUCUGUUUUUUUCUGUUCCUUGGAAACAAUGAACAUAGGAAGUCUUUUACAUCUUAAAAUAACUCUUUUUAUCAUUCAAUACCAUCAGCUCCAAUACAAAUCAAAUAAUCUGUCUGAUUGUCAAAUUCUGCCAAUUUCUAUGCUGCCUUUCUUUGUCAGAGACAUUUCCUUACCCCAUGAAAUCCUCUG